rnacentral:rRNA from 1 species
UACAGAGACUGCAAGCGUUAUUCGGAUUCACUGGGCGUAAAGGGUGCGCAGGCGGUCGUGUGUGUCAGAUGUGAAAUCCCGGAGCUUAACUCCGGAACUGCGUCUGAAACUACACGACUAGAGCAUUGGAGAGGGAAGUGGAAUUCAUGGUGUAGCAGUGAAAUGCGUAGAUAUCAUGAGGAACACCAGAGGCGAAGGCGACUUCCUGGACAAUAGCUGACGCUCAGGCACGAAAGCAUGGGGAGCAAAAGGGAUUAGAUACCCCUGUAGUCCAUGCCCUAAACGGUGCACACUAGGUCUUGGAGGAUUCGACCCCUUCAGGGCCCAAGCUAACGCGUUAAGUGUGCCGCCUGAGGACUACGGUCGCAAGACUA